rnacentral:rRNA from 1 species
AUAGCGUAUAUUUAAGUUGUUGCAGUUAAAAAGUCUCGUAGUUGGAUUUUGGUUAAGAGGGCGCGGUCGGCCGUUCGGUCUGUACUGCGUUGUCUUGACUUCCUGAUGAGGACAUGCUCUUGGUUAACGCUGAGACAUGGAGUCAUCGUGGUUACUUUGAAAAAAUUAGAGUGUUCAAAGCGGGCUUACGCUUGAAUAUAUUAGCAUGGAAUAACACUAUAGGACUCCUGUCCUAUCUCGUUGGUCUCGGGAUGGGAGUAAUGAUUAAGAGGAACAGUUGGGGGCAUUCGUAUUUCAUUGUCAGAGGUGAAAUUCUUGGAUUUAUGAAAGACGAACUUCUGCGAAAGCAUUUGCCAAGGAUGUUUUCAUUAAUCAAGAACGAAAGUUGGGGGCUCGAAGAUGAUUAGAUACCAUCCUAGUCUCAACCAUAAACGAUGCCGACUAGGGAUUGGUGGAUGUUAAUUGAUGACUUCACCAGCACCUUAUGAGAAAUCAAAGUUU